CGAAGUAGAGCUUGAUUAGGGAAGCAUUUCACUUACACUGAGAGGAGGCCGUGCGAUUCGGCGUAUUUCGA
rnacentral:tRNA from 1 species